rfam:Candidatus Roizmanbacteria bacterium RIFCSPHIGHO2_01_FTLL_39_8 rifcsphigho2_01_scaffold_3788, whole genome shotgun sequence.
AGGGCCAUAGUUCAGUGGUAGAAUGGGAGUCUCCAAAACUCUAGACGGAGGUUCGACUCCUCCUGGCCCUG